GACGAACGCUGGCGGCGUGCCUAAUACAUGCAAGUCGAACGCUUCUUUUCCCCCCGGAGCUUGCUCCACCGGGAAAAGAGGGGUGGCGAACGGGUGAGUAACACGUGGGUAACCUGCCCAUCAGAAGGGGAUAACACUUGGAAACAGGUGCUAAUACCGUAUAACAAUCGAAACCGCAUGGUUUCGUUUUGAAAGGCGCUUUACGGUGCCGCUGAUGGAUGGACCCGCGGUGCAUUAGCUAGUUGGUGAGGUAACGGCUCACCAAGGCCACGAUGCAGAGCCGACCUGAGGGGGUGAUGGGCCACAUUGGGACUGAGACACGGCCCAAACUCCUACGGGAGGCAGCAGUAGGGAAUCUUCGGCAAUGGACGAAAGUCUGACCGAGCAACGCCGCGUGAGUGAAGAAGGUUUUCGGAUCGUAAAACUCUGUUGUUAGAGAAGAACAAGGGUGAGAGUAACUGUUCACCCCUUGACGGUAUCUAACCAGAAAGCCACGGCUAACUACGUGCCAGCCGCCGCCGUAA
rnacentral:rRNA from 1 species